rnacentral:tRNA from 1 species
GGUUCCAUAGUGUAGCAGUUAGCACGUCUGCUUUACACGCAGAAGGUCCUGGGUUUGUGCCCCAGUGGAGCCG